GACGAACGCUGGCGGCGUGCCUAAUACAUGCAAGUAGAACGCUGAAGAGAGGAGCUUGCUCUUCUUGGAUGAGUUGCGAACGGGUGAGUAACGCGUAGGUAACCUGCCUUGUAGCGGGGGAUAACUAUUGGAAACGAUAGCUAAUACCGCAUAACAAUGGAUGACACAUGUCAUUUAUUUGAAAGGGGCAAUUGCUCCACUACAAGAUGGACCUGCGUUGUAUUAGCUAGUAGGUGAGGUAACGGCUCACCUAGGCGACGAUACAUAGCCGACCUGAGAGGGUGAUCGGCCACACUGGGACUGAGACACGGCCCAGACUCCUACGGGAGGCAGCAGUAGGGAAUCUUCGGCAAUGGGGGCAACCCUGACCGAGCAACGCCGCGUGAGUGAAGAAGGUUUUCGGAUCGUAAAGCUCUGUUGUAAGUCAAGAACGAGUGAGAGAGUGGAAAGUUCACACUGUGACGGUAGCUUAACAGAAAGGGACGGCUAACUACGUG
rnacentral:rRNA from 1 species